rnacentral:rRNA from 1 species
GAUGAACGCUGGCGGCGUGCCUAAUACAUGCAAGUCGAGCGAACAGAUAAGGAGCUUGCUCCUUUGAAGUUAGCGGCGGACGGGUGAGUAACACGUGGGUAACCUACCUAUAAGACUGGAAUAACUUCGGGAAACCGGAGCUAAUGCCGGAUAACAUAUAGAACCGCAUGGUUCUAUAGUGAAAGAUGGUUUUGCUAUCACUUAUAGAUGGACCCGCGUCGUAUUAGCUAGUUGGUAAGGUAAUGGCUUACCAAGGCGACGAUACGUAGCCGACCUGAGAGGGUGAUCGGCCACACUGGAACUGAGACACGGUCCAGACCCCUACGGGAGGCAGCAGUAGGGAAUCUUCCGCAAUGGGCGAAAGCCUGACGGAGCAACGCCGCGUGAGUGAUGAAGGUUUUCGGAUCGUAAAACUCUGUUAUUAGGGAAGAACAAAUGCGUAAGUAACUGUGCGCAUCUUGACGGUACCUAAUCAGAAAGCCACGGCUAACUACGUGCCAGCAGCCGCAGUAA